AUUGAACGCUGGCGGCAUGCCUUACACAUGCAAGUCGAACGGCAGCACGGGUGCUUGCACCUGGUGGCGAGUAGCGAACGGGUGAGUAAUACAUCGGAACGUACCUUAUCGUGGGGGAUAACGCAGCGAAAGCUGUGCUAAUACCGCAUACGCCCUGAGGGGGAAAGCGGGGGAUCGCAAGACCUCGCGCGAUUAGAGCGGCCGAUGCCUGAUUAGCUUGUUGGUGGGGUAAACGCCCACCAAGGCGACGAUCAGUAGCUGGUCUGAGAGGACGAGCAGCCACACUGGGACUGGGACACGGCCCAGACUCCUGCGGGAGGCAGCGGUGGGGAAUUUCGGACAAGGGGGGCAACCCGGAUCCAGCAAUGCCGCUUGAGUGAAGAAGGCCUUCGAGUUGUAAAGCUCUUUUGUCAGGGAAGAAACACCGGCUCUAACACAGUCCGGGAAUGACGGUACCUGAAGAAUAAGCACCGGCUAACUACGUGCCAGCCGCCGCGGUAA
rnacentral:rRNA from 1 species